AGAGUUUGUGGCCCCAAGGUCAUGGGCUGAACUCAAACCUUCAGAUUGCAAAAUGAAUAUUGUUUCAAUUACACUACGCUGUGCUCCCUAUCUAACAUCUGAAGUAGAUGCAUCUGGAAGCUAUAGUAUAUUUAGCCAUUAUGGCAGCAUUAAUAAGUUGGAAAUAUCCUUCUCAAACUGGGUUACUUACACCCCCAGGAGGCCACCCUGGUGUCCCAAGCUACUUGAAGUUGGACUCUCAAGCACGAAAUUUACCUGAAGACUUGAAUAACUAUGCUCAAGGUAAACCUGUGACUCAUCCAAGGCCCCAGCAAGUAAGUUGGCAUGUCAGUCCUCUCAACAGACUCCCAGCUCCGCAGGAUUUCCCUGACCUCUCAGCAGCCUGGAAGAUCAGGACUUCAGCUUUGGUAUCUUCAAACCAGAAUGCUUUUCCCUAUAGGAACAAGGAGCCAACAGGUGAAUGCCAUUUCCUGGCCCCAGGUGAGGCCAGCACAGAGUGGGUUCCAGCAUGGUAGACCACCCCAGCCGGCAGGCUGACACACAUGCUGUUCUUGCUUCCCUCGUUCUGAGGGGAUGUGCUCGUUGAUGAGCUGUGGAGCCCAUCCAGAAUGUUUUUGGAGCUGUUAGCUAUUAUGUCCCCCCAAAAAUAAUAAAUUGC
ensembl:lincRNA